CGCAGACAAGGCAGACAGGGCGCAUGUUUCAGAACGGCAUUCGUUUUGAGCCGUGCAGUUAGUUGGCGUGUUUGCAUCCAUGAAAGCAUUCGGUUGUCCACCGUCUGCUACGCUUUCACGCGGAAUAUGAAAGCCACCGUGCCCCGUUUGCGUAGUGCACAGUGAGUGGUCGACGAAUGUUCCUUUAAGCACCUGCAUAAUGCAACAAAAUGCCGCAGCUCUCACCAUAGACGUUCUGAACCAAUGCUCGCUCUGGACAAGCAUCGCUCUUCGCUCGUGCCUUUCUCCUGGCCGCACUACUUGAUUUGUGCUAUCAGUGAUCUACACUCCAAGCUCGGUCGUUCAAGGUUGCUUGGAUAUCAAGCGAGCCCCAAAGGGAAAGCAUGGUUCUGCCAAGACUGUUACGCAGGUUAUGGCGCCUCCUCGCAAGGUACGAACCGCUGCCGAAGAAGUGAAUCCUAGAGCUACGCACGCGGAUGCAACCAGGCAACAUCGGGCUCAGCAGACCGCUGUGCAGAAAGCAGGACAAGCCGCAGCAAAAGUUAUAGCUCACCGUCGACGCCGGGUGGACAGUUCAGAUCGUUCUCCUGAAAACGAUGCGAAAAGACUUCGCCGCAAGGACCUCGUAGUGCAUGGUGUCGAAAAUGGAGCUGUUGUGGCGCCGCUCCUCCAGUUCACACUGUGACUGUGCCGCGUGAGCCGCGCAGGCCUCUGACUUUAUUUGUUUAUUUGUUGAAUGAUUACGUUUGAUUGCAAAAAAAAAGCCACAGUGGUCUUUAAGUGUCACAUGUACCCUUGAGCACAACUUGAAUGGUGUGAUGUUUCGUACUCUGUAGUGAAAACUUGUGUGCCCGUGCCGGUAAAGUCGCGUUUCAAGCAGUGUACUGCAACCACCAACACCGCCAUCACAAACACCAGAAAUGAGAUAUACAAAGGAAUAUAUAUCGAGGUAUAGUAAAACUUCGUGUUAUGAUACCCAUUCCAAACAGCGCAAUGCGCGCUUUUGACCCGCAAUGAGAAAACUGGGAGAAGCCGAAAUGGGGCUGUCUUUGUGGCGGCGAUUGAUCGGUCCCGGUGUGCUCUACCAGCAUGUUGCCUCUCUAGUUUAUAAGGAAACAGUCAACUAUCGCCCAACAUUUCCGCAACGCGAUACCGGAGAACGAUUCUGAUCAGUUCAUGUCCAUCUGUGGUUAUGCCUUCGCAGCAAAGCAGUGAACCAUCACCCAGCACACAAGCCACCAUGCCCUACUUCUCAAGGAAGAAGUAGCGAGCCAACUUGGCCCAAGGCAAAGGAGGCACCUCAGCUACUGAAUCCUAUAAACCUUGUCGGCGCUUACCCUGCUAUUACCCCGAACAAACGCAGAAGUGUCGUAGCUUCACAUUGCUUUCAGAUGAAGCGAAGCGCCGGCAUGCUAGCGGGAUGUUCAAAAGACGCGAAGAGAAUUUCAAUUAGGGAAACUACAUGCGGAAGCCUUUGUGCAGGGCGAACACACGAGCCUUUCUAUGUGGGCAUUGUGAGAAUGAGUUGAGCUCAGUGGGCGCCUUUCUAGUCGUCUCGCUGUAUGCCGCCGACCACAGGAGAAUCACUUUGUAGAUGAGCGAGUUCAGGGGCUGAAUAACGAGAGACCGCAUGCUUGGGCGAUGCGUCAGCAGACGGUCUCCUCGUCGUAUGUUCGCGAAACGGGACGCAGAGGACGACCAUAGGCAAAUCGAACGGGUCUUGGGAGUCUAACGAGAUGGGAACAUGUCUGGUAAACUCUCCGUCUUCUCACCCUCACGACAGUAGUCUGGCAAGUUUGUGGACGAAUUCACUACAGUUCAUUGUAACUAGGAAGUUGCGGCUUGCGAGUCGUUACUUCAAGGAUGUGCCAGAGUAAGCUGUUGUUGUCGCUACGCUGAGUAGUCUGAGAAAGUGGCGUGAUUAGUCUGAAACACUGCAGAAAUGGUUUGUUUUCUGCCUGCUUUGUGGCGUUAAGUGCUUGGUGUAGCUUAAAGAAACAAGCUGCAGGACGAGGCAGCGUCGCGUUGGAGCGAAAUCAGGCUUUUGUGAAAUGUAAUGAAUGUUUAUUAAAAAAAAGAAUGUACAGGGAGAAUAUUUAUAAGACUCUGCCUAUUUUUACUUUCCUGUCCCAGUUCGUUUCAUCGUUCACACGACGCUGUGGCGCUGUUGCCACUGGCAUCAGCCACCGAACACGAAAGAUGGUAGUAAAUGAAUGGAACCGAUGCAAAAGUUCUUACAAAAUACAAUCCCAGUUACCUUGAAUGAAAGGCAUUCGGAA